AUUGAACGCUGGCGGCAGGCCUAACACAUGCAAGUCGAGCGGAUGAAGGGAGCUUGCUCCUGGAUUCAGCGGCGGACGGGUGAGUAAUGCCUAGGAAUCUGCCUGGUAGUGGGGGAUAACGUCCGGAAACGGGCGCUAAUACCGCAUACGUCCUGAGGGAGAAAGUGGGGGAUCUUCGGACCUCACGCUAUCAGAUGAGCCUAGGUCGGAUUAGCUAGUUGGUGGGGUAAAGGCCUACCAAGGCGACGAUCCGUAACUGGUCUGAGAGGAUGAUCAGUCACACUGGAACUGAGAAACGGUCCAGACUCCUACGGGAGGCAGCAGUGGGGAAUAUUGGACAAUGGGCGAAAGCCUGAUCCAGCCAUGCCGCGUGUGUGAAGAAGGUCUUCGGAUUGUAAAGCACUUUAAGUUGGGGGAAGGGCAGUAAGUUAAUACCUUGCUGUUUUGACGUUACCAACAGAAUAAGCACCGGCUAACUUCGUG
rnacentral:rRNA from 1 species